GAUGAACGCUGGCGGCGUGCCUAAUACAUGCAAGUCGAGCGAACAGACGAGGAGCUUGCUCCUCUGACGUUAGCGGCGGACGGGUGAGUAACACGUGGAUAACCUACCUAUAAGACUGGGAUAACUUCGGGAAACCGGAGCUAAUACCGGAUAAUAUAUUGAACCUCAUGGUUCAAUAGUGAAAGACGGUUUUGCUGUCACUUAUAGAUGGAUCCGCGCCGCAUUAGCUAGUUGGUAAGGUAACGGCUUACCAAGGCAACGAUGCGUAGCCGACCUGAGAGGGUGAUCGGCCACACUGGAACUGAGACACGGUCCAGACUCCUACGGGAGGCAGCAGUAGGGAAUCUUCCGCAAUGGGCGAAAGCUUGACGGAGCAACGCCGCGUGAGUGAUGGAGGUCUUCGGAUCGUAAAACUCUGUUAUUAGGGAAGAACAAAUGUGGAAGUAACUAUGCACGUCUUGACGGUACCUAAUCAGAAAGCCACGGCUAACUACGUG
rnacentral:rRNA from 1 species